rnacentral:rRNA from 1 species
AGCCACAGCCAUAUCACCCUGCAGCCCAAGACCGGUUACUCACUGAAGCUAAGCAGGGCUGAGCCUGGUCAAUACAUGGAUGGGAGACCACUAGGGAACACUAGGUUGCUGUUGGAU